rnacentral:rRNA from 1 species
GUACGGGAGGCAGCAGUGGGGAAUUUUGCGCAAUGGGCGAAAGCCUGACGCAGCAACGCCGCGUGAGUGAUGAAGGCUUUCGGGUCGUAAAGCUCUGUCAAUGGGAAAGAAGUGUACUUUGGCUAAUAUCCAUUGUACUUGACGGUACCCAUAAAGGAAGCACCGGCUAACUCCGUGCCAGCAGCCGCGGUAAUACGGGGGGUGCAAGCGUUGUUCGGAAUUAUUGGGCGUAAAGCGCGUGUAGGCGGUUUGAUUAGUCUGAUGUGAAAGCCCUGGGCUCAACCCAGGAAGUGCAUUGGAUACUGUCAGACUUGAAUACGGGAGAGGGUAGUGGAAUUCCUAGUGUAGGAGUGAAAUCCGUAGAUAUUAGGAGGAACACCGGUGGCGAAGGCGGCUACCUGGACCGAUAUUGACGCUGAGACGCGAAAGCGUGGGUAGCAAACAGGAUUAGAUACCCGGGUAGUCG